CCAGCAUCAGAUUUGUAUAUCCUUCCUCAAAAUGUCCUUUUUUUUUUUUUUUUUUUUUUUUAAAUGGAACCAGCCACGUCUUCACAAGGUCCACCAUUUAUGGGGACACUUGGUCGUCGUAAACACUCGCCCACCCGUAAUGAUCAGUGGACAUGGAUGUAAAAUUAAUGCGUCGCACGGCGAAUUAUUUGUUUCAAUCUUUCUUUUUAUUCCUUUUCCCAUCAUGGUGUUGCUCUUUUGUUCCACGUCUUCACAAGGUCCACCAUUUAUGGGGACACUUGGUCGUCGUAAACACUCGCCCACCCGUAACGAUCAGUGGACAUGGAUGUAAAGUUAAUGCGUCGCACGGCGAAUUAUUUUGUUUCAAUCUUUCUUUUUAUUCCUUUUCCCAUCAUGGUGUUGCUCUUUUGUUGUGUCCUCCGUCUUGCACCUUCACCUCCCUCCUCCUUUCUCUCAUGUAUGUCAUGGCUCAGAUGAAUCAGCGUCAGCGAUGUUGAGAGCACUUACUGUCAACCCCAGCGCCCCGGGCCACGCCACUGAUGGACACAAACUAUAAAAUAUCACCCCCCUGGGGAGUCAUCGCUCAAGUCCUGCCCCACAGCCCCGAGGGUGCCACUGGAUUUGGAGUCUAUGCCUGUAACGCUGGCUGAGGGGCAGGAGUACACCUUGGAUGAGACACAUCAUGCACUGACACAUUCAUACGCAUCUAUUCACACCUUUAGAGUCCCCUGUAAACCUACCAGCAUGUUUUGGACAAUGGGAGGAAACCGGAGAACCCAGAGGAAACCUACGUGGACAUGGGGAAAACAUACAAAACUUGUCAUGAUGUUCAUGGUCGAAUAUGUUUCCAGGGCUUGGUCCUGGAGCCUAUCGCAGGGGACUUGGGGCACAAGGUGGGGGACACUCUGGACACACACUCACACACCCAUUCACACACGAUGGACAAUUUUGGAAAUGCCAAUCAGCUUACAGUGCAUGUCUUUAGACUGAGGCAGGAAACUGGAGUACCCAGAGACAACAACCGAAGCACUGGGAGAACAUGCAAACUCGAAUGCCCUACCCCAAAUAUUUUAUUCAUCAAACAAUGGCACAUCAUGC
ensembl:lncRNA